GCCUGGUUGCUGUUCAGCUCAAGAGUUCCCUGCUGAAAGGAAUCACAGAGAAGCUUUGCUCAUUCCACUUUUAUGCCUCACUCUCCCUCUGAAAGUUCUCUGCAAAACAAUUGCCAGAGCUCAGAAAUCCCCAAAACUUUAGCCAGUUAGGGCGUGCCCAUUUUCUCCUUCUCUCUCACUCUCUGCAAGAGAUUGAAUUAUUGACCCAAAUCCUUCACCCCUCACUGUACUAUUGGCCUUUGUUUUAUAACUUUGCAGUUACUCUUGCUAGACGUGGAAUGUACUUCCCUAUCCUUUGACCUUGUUUAUACUCAGCGUGUGACUUGAUUACACCAAUGGACUUUACUGCCCCUUCAACCUGGGCUUCAAAAGGUGAACACGUACAGCAGAUGUGAGAGCAACCACCAGCAAGGAACAAAACCUGCACUCAGCAGAACCCAGCCUAGAUCCGCUGACCAGCCAACCAACAUAGAGAUACAUUCAUGAGAAUAAAUAAUUGCUGAGAAAGUGCAUCCAGAACUGAUGUGAAUGCCGAGAUCUUGGUCUUUGAGCCUGAUGCUGUGAUUCCAUGAGACUUCUGCGGCUCUUUGGGGUGGAGUAAGCAUAGUUUUCAUGUAGAGGAUCAUGAAGAAUUGUGGUCCAAAAGCACAGACUGUGGUAGAUUGAAUUACCAGUCUCAAUUAUUAUCUCCUUCUAUACAUGCCCUUUGCCAUGUAACUUUUAGCUCCUCCUAUUAGAGGUGG
rnacentral:lncRNA from 1 species